rnacentral:rRNA from 1 species
GACGAACGCUGGCGGCGUGCCUAAUACAUGCAAGUAGAACGCACAGGAUGCACCGUAGUUUACUACACCGUGUUCUGUGAGUUGCGAACGGGUGAGUAACGCGUAGGUAACCUGCCUGGUAGCGGGGGAUAACUAUUGGAAACGAUAGCUAAUACCGCAUAAGAACAUUUACUGCAUGGUAGAUGUUUAAAAGGUGCAAGAGCAUCACUACCAGAUGGACCUGCGUUGUAUUAGCUAGUUGGUGAGGUAACGGCUCACCAAGGCAACGAUACAUAGCCGACCUGAGAGGGUGAUCGGCCACGCUGGGACUGAGACACGGCCCAGACUCCUACGGGAGGCAGCAGUAGGGAAUCUUCGGCAAUGGGGGGAACCCUGACCGAGCAACGCCGCGUGAGUGAAGAAGGUUUUCGGAUCGUAAAGCUCUGUUGUUAAGGAAGAACGUGUGUGAGAGUGGAAAGUUCACACAGUGACGGUACUUAACCAGAAAGGGACGGCUAACUACGUGCCAGCAGCCGCGGUAAUACGUAGGUCCCGAGCGUUGUCCGGAUUUAUUGGGCGUAAAGCGAGCGCAGGCGGUUAGAUAAGUCUGAAGUGAAAGGCAGUGGCUCAACCAUUGUAGGCUUUGGAAACUGUUUAACUUGAGUGCAGAAGGGGAGAGUGGAAUUCCAUGUGUAGCGGUGAAAUGCGUAGAUAUAUGGAGGAACACCGGUGGCGAAAGCGGCUCUCUGGUCUGUAACUGACGCUGAGGCUCGAAAGCGUGGGGAGCGAACAGG